CAUAAAUAAUUUAUCAAACAAAAUUAUUCGCCAGAGAACUACUAGCAACGGCUUAAAACUCAAAGGACUUGGCGGUGCUUUAAACCCCCCUAGAGGAGCCUGUUCUGUAAUCGAUAAACCCCGAUAGACCUCACCACCCCUUGCUAAUCCAGUCUAUAUACCGCCAUCUUCAGCGAACCCUUAAAAGGAAAAAGAGUAAGCACAAUCAUCUUGCAUAAAAAAGUUAGGUCAAGGUGUAACCCAUGGGAUGGGAAGAAAUGGGCUACAUUUUCUAUUCAAGAACAACCUACGAAAGUUUUUAUGAAACUAAAAACUAAAGGUGGAUUUAGUAGUAAACCAAGAAUAGAGAGCUUGGUUGAAUAAGGCAAUGAAGCACGCACACACCGCCCGUCACCC
rnacentral:rRNA from 1 species